UGAGUAACACGUAUCCAACCUGCCGUCUACUCUUGGACAGCCUUCUGAAAGAAAGAUUAAUACAAGAUGGCAUCAUGAGUUCACAUGUUCACAUGAUUAAAGGUAUUCCGGUAGACGAUGGGGAUGCGUUCCAUUAGAUAGUAGGCGGGGUAACGGCCCACCAAGACUACGAUGGAUAGGGGUUCUGAGAGGAAGGUCCCCCACAUUGGAACUGAGACACGGUCCAA
rnacentral:rRNA from 1 species